GAUGAACGCUGGCGGCGUGCCUAACACAUGCAAGUCGAGCGAACGGACGAGAAGCUUGUUUCUCUGAUGUUAGCGGCGCACGGGUGAGUAACAUGUGGAUAACCUACCUAUAAGACUGGGAUAACUUCGGGAAACCGGCGCUUAUCCCGGAUAAUAUUUUGAACCGCAUGGUUCAAAAGUGAAAGACGGUCUUGCUGUCACUUAUAGAUGGAUCCGCGCUGCAUUAGCUAGUUGGUAAGGUAACGGCUUACCACGGCAACGAUGCGUAGCCGACCUGAGAGGGUGAUCGGCCACCCUGGAACUGAGACACGGUCCAGACUCCUACGGGAGGCAGCAGUAGGGAAUCUGCCGCAAUGGGCGAGAGCCUGACGGAGAAACGCCGCGGGAGUGAUAAAGGUCUUCGGAUCGUAAAACUCUGUUAUUAGGGAAGAACAUAUGUGUAAGUAACUGUGCACAUCUUGACGGUACCUAAUCAGGAAGCCACGGCUAACUACGUG
rnacentral:rRNA from 1 species